UACAGAGGGGGCAAGCGUUAUUCGGAAUUAUUGGGCGUAAAGGGCGCGUAGGCGGCUUUUCAAGUGACGGGUGAAAUCCCUCGGCUUAACCGGGGAACUGCGUCUGAUACUGGAUGGCUAGAGGUUGGGAGAGGGAUGCGGAAUUCCAGGUGUAGCGGCGAAAUGCGUAGAUAUCUGGAGGAACACCGGUGGCGAAGGCGGCAUCCUGGACCAAUUCUGACGCUGAGGAGCGAAAGCCAGGGGAGCAAACGGG
rnacentral:rRNA from 1 species